GUGCCAGCAGCCGCGGUAACACGGGGGGCGCAAGCGUUAUUCGGAAUUAUUGGGCGUAAAGGGCGCGCAGGCGGUCUUGUCAGUCAGGUGUGAAAGCCCGGGGCUCAACUCCGGACGUGCACUUGAAACAGCAAGACUUGAGUACGGGAGAGGAAAGCGGAAUUCCUGGUGUAGAGGUGAAAUUCGUAGAUAUCAGGAGGAACACCGAUGGCGAAGGCAGCUUUCUGGACCGAUACUGACGCUGAGGCGCGAAGGCGUGGGUAGCGAACGGGAUUAGAUACCCCCGUAGUCC
rnacentral:rRNA from 1 species